CUGAUGACGAGUCGUCUUUUAGAUGACGAAGUGGUUGAUGCCAUGCUUCCAAGAAAAGCUUCUAAGCUUCAGGUAACCAGGAGCCGUACCCCAAACCGACACAGGUGGUCGGGUAGAGAAUACCAAGGCGCUUGAGAGAACUCGGGUGAAGGAACUAGGCAAAAUGGCACCGUAACUUCGGGAGAAGGUGCGCCGGCUAGGGUGAAGGAUUUACUCCGUAAGCUCUGGCUGGUCGAAGAUACCAGGCCGCUGCGACUGUUUAUUAAAAACACAGCACUCUGCAAACACGAAAGUGGACGUAUAGGGUGUGACGCCUGCCCGGUGCCGGAAGGUUAAUUGAUGGGGUUAGCGCAAGCGAAGCUCUUGAUCGAAGCCCCGGUAAACGGCGGCCGUAACUAUAACGGUCCUAAGGUAGCGAAAUUCCUUGUCGGGUAAGUUCCGACCUGCACGAAUGGCGUAACGAUGGCGGCGCUGUCUCCACCCGAGACUCAGUGAAAUUGAAAUCGCUGUGAAGAUGCAGUGUAUCCGCGGCUGGACGGAAAGACCCCGUGAACCUUUACUGUAGCUUUGCACUGGACUUUGAGCCUGCUUGUGUAGGAUAGGUGGGAGGCUUUGAAGCGUGGACGCCAGUUCGCGUGGAGCCAUCCUUGAAAUACCACCCUGGCAUGCUUGAGGUUCUAACUCUGGUCCGUAAUCCGGAUCGAGGACAGUGUAUGGUGGGCAGUUUGACUGGGGCGGUCUCCUCCUAAAGAGUAACGGAGGAGUACGAAGGUGCGCUCAGACCGGUCGGAAAUCGGUCGCAGAGUAUAAAGGCAAAAGCGCGCUUGACUGCGAGACAGACACGUCGAGCAGGUACGAAAGUAGGUCUUAGUGAUCCGGUGGUUCUGUAUGGAAGGGCCAUCGCUCAACGGAUAAAAGGUACUCCGGGGAUAACAGGCUGAUACCGCCCAAGAGUUCAUAUCGACGGCGGUGUUUGGCACCUCGAUGUUGGCUCAUCACAUCCUGGGGCUGAAGCCGGUCCCAAGGGUAUGGCUGUUCGCCAUUUAAAGUGGUACGCGAGCUGGGUUUAGAACGUCGUGAGACAGUUCGGUCCCUAUCUGCCGUGGACGUUUGAGAUUUGAGAGGGGCUGCUCCUAGUACGAGAGGACCGGAGUGGACGAACCUCUGGUGUUCCGGUUGUCACGCCAGUGGCAUUGCCGGGUAGCUAUGUUCGGAAAAGAUAACCGCUGAAAGCAUCUAAGCGGGAAACUUGCCUCAAGAUGAGAUCUCACUGGGAACUUGAUUCCCCUGAAGGGCCGUCGAAGACUACGACGUUGAUAGGCUGGGUGUGUAAGCGUUGUGAGGCGUUGAGCUAACCAGUACUAAUUGCCCGUGAGGCUUGACC
rnacentral:rRNA from 1 species